UAAGAAAAGAAUCCAUCAUAGUGUAAAUAAAUAUUUGAGUGCUAAAAUUAUAUUAUGUCCGCUCAAUUCAAUACUGGUCUUCAUCAUCCACGAGUGUUAGAAAAGUCUAAGUGGUCUUGUCCUACCUACAAACGAGAAUUAGACGUAAUUAAUAAUUGUUUUCCAUUUCUCAAUCAUAGAAAAGAAAAUUCAAAAGUAAAUUGGAGUAAAUCUUUCAAGGUUCACGAAUUACUACUUCAACACUUGCACGUGAAAAACAAAGAAACCAGUGCCACAAGUUGAAACUGAGUUGUUUCUGUUAAGUUUGGGCUUCGAUUGUUGUCUUUAUAGAAUCCAAGAAUAUAUAUUUACUAGGUAAAUUAUCGCGCUUUGCGCAGUGGUUACUAUAUUAAUAAUCUACUUUUAAAUAUGUAGUAAUAUAAAUAUUUUCGAGACGGUACAACCCUACGAUAGAUUGUUAAGAAUAUUUUAUCCAAAAAGAAAUAAUUUUUUAUAAUCUUAAAACGAAAACUUGAUUCUAAGUGUUUAUGAAUUUUGUUAUUAAUUCUUCAUUUUACUCUAUUUGUUCAUCAGCCAAGUCUUAAGAAAGAUAUGUAAUUGUUUCAUUGUCUAUAUUUGUCUUUUUAAAAAAGUCAUACAAACAUUUAAUUCAUUAAUUGCGAGAGUUUUUAUGCUAUUCAAGGCAUCUACAUAUAAAAUCUAAAUAUUAUACAUCUUAUAUAAUUAGUUGUGUAUUUAAUAAGUUAAUUAAAAUAUAAAAAUGCAUCCCUUGAAGUUCAACAAAAUAAGUAUGUCGCUCAAAUGGUUCAGAUUACAUGAUAUCUUGUCAUGUCCCUUAUUCAAAAUCAUAUGUACUCGAUGAUACUACUUUGAUAGCCAAAAGACAUAUUUUGUUGUUUAUAUUUGAAUCAAUAAAGUUAAAACUUUAUUCUUGGGGGACUUUCAAUCUACAAUUUAUAAGAAGAUAAUUAUUUCUUUAAUUUUUUUUAUUAAUAUAGAUUCAUCCUACUUUGAGGGGUAAUUCAUUGACUCCAACCUAACAUUUGAACCACAAACGUUUGAUUAAGGUUGAGUACAAUACUUAUCAUCCCACUACAUUCACUUAUUUUUUGGAUGUCACUAAUCGAUUAAAUGUGUCGAUAAGAUAGAAAGUUGAAUAAAUAAAACACCAAGAUAGUGUGGAACCGACAUAUAUUUGAAAACUCAAAGUCCCUUCGUAGACAUCCCAUGGAUGUUUUAGCCACUAAAACUCAAUUAAAAUCAAACCAAUAGUCUAAUGACUACAUCAAACUCUUGAUUAACAUAUGUUUACUUCAACACAAUGAUCAAAAUCAUAAACAUAAACAACAAAGUUUAAUACAUGUACUCAAAAAUAAAAAGUAAUAACAUAAGCAUAAAUUAGUGAUUGUAUUAAACAUACCAGGAUCUGUAAUAAUAAAAUGAAACAUGAAGGAAAAAAUCGAGCCCCCUGAUUUGACAUUGUCCCCUUAAGGAAAUUUUCCCAUUCUAGUACCCGAUGUUUAAAGGAAUAGAUCCUCUCUGGACAAAAUGAUUCUAUUCUGUAGUGUGUUAGUACAAAACAAUGAUGUCAGUGAGACACUCAGCAGGAGCAAAAUGCAUAAAUUUUUGUUGUUUUAAAAUUAGAGGAAGUCCCUCUAUUUAUAGACUACAAAGGGUAGCUUGAAUAAAUAUUUAUUGUGUCUUAUCGGAAAGGACACAACUCUUUGGACAAGUCACAAUUUUUCAUUAAAGUUACAACCCUUCAUUAAAGUCGCAACUCUUCAUUAAAGUUGCAACUCUUCAUUAAAGUUGUAAAUCUUUAUAAAAAAGUUGCAACUCUUCGUAAAAGUCACAACUUUUUUUUACAAGUCGUAACUUUUCAUAGAACUUUUUUUUAUAAAAAUCACAACUUUUCAUGAAAGGGAAGACUAAUUUUGUGAAUAAAUAAGUUAAAGGGGAAUUCUGAUUUGUAGUGGUGCCACAUAGACGGGCCUAGGGAGUAAACCUUUCACUAACACUUUAUCAUAAUCAUGAGAAGCUACUUUAAAUCAUAUAAUAAUAAUAUCAUAACAUACUUGCAUUCUUAAUUAACCAAUUCGGUAGUCUAGGGUUAAGGAUGAGGAAUACUUGCUAUCAACAUUACAACCACACAAUAGACAUAGAAGCAUUACAAUCUAAGUAACUCAUACUUUAUAAUUGAAUUCAAGAAAAAUAAAUCUUCAUACCUUCUUGCCUUUUCAUUGCCUUCAUACUUCGAUAACAAAGAAUACAUAAACAAUUCAUAAUCAAGGUAAAUUCAAGAAUCAAUCACAUAAUUAACAUCAAUUUAGUCAAUCAACAUAUUUAUCACGUCCACAAUUCACCAUAGCAAUUCAAAGUUUUCAUGAGAUUGGGGAUAGACAUGGGUCCAUAGGAAUCUUGAGUGAAUAACAAGAUUUAACCACUAAUGUAUACUUAAAAAUAUUACUUGACCAUAAUUCAUCACAAUUGAUUCCUAAUUUCGUUUUUCAAAGAAGACCCAUGUGUAAAGAAAAAUCCUAGUUUGGGGAAGUUUGAAAAUCUCUUUGAAAGGACCUCUUGGGGAAAGGAAUCCCAGGAGUGAAAGAAAUCAUACCUUAACCAAGGCUUUAGCCUCCAGUUUGAGUGAAGAACUUGAGAAUUUGAUCUUCUUCUUCAAGCUUCAAAGUUUCUUCAAUGGAGGUUGAGUAGAGAGAGAAAGUAGAGAGAAGGGAGAGCUUUUGGAUUUUGAUUUGGGGAUUUGAUUCGAGUGGA
rnacentral:lncRNA from 1 species